CUUUGAGUGUCAACACACAAACAAUGCUCAGCUCUUGACAGAGAUUAUUAGAGACUCAAGAUCAUGUAUGGAGAACGAUCUCAAAAUGGAGCACCUUACAUAGAGAGAAAAAGAUAUUUUUAUCAAAUUCAAUUUUGCUAUUAGCUAAAGAUCUUGGGCAUGAUGUCAAAAGUUAUACCCACAGGAAAUCUUGGUAUAUCUGGACUUUAAAUUUUAUUUGUUGGCCAUAGUUAAGAGUUAUAGUCUACAGCAUGUGUAGUCAUAACUACCGCAUGAGUACUCUAUGAGUUACUUAGCUUCGUCUAUAACUUGUAUAGACAAAGCUAUUUGUAGAAACUUUACACAAAAUCAAUUUAUUUUUACUUAUCAAAAAAAAA
rnacentral:lncRNA from 1 species